AGCUCCAAUAGCGUAUAUUAAAGUUGUUGCAGUUAAAAAGCUCGUAGUUGGAUUUCUGGUCGGACCGAUCGGUCCUGCACUUGAUGUAGGUACUUGACCGCGUCUGAUCAUCCUUGGGGAGAGCCUGUGUGGCAUUAAGUUGUCGUGCUGGGGAUCCCCAUCGUUUACUGUGAAUAAAUUAGAGUGUUUCAAGCAGGCUUACGCCGUUGAAUACAUUAGCAUGGAAUAAUAAGAUAGGACCUUGGUACUAUUUUGUUGGUUUGCGCACCAAGGUAAUGAUUAAUAGGGACAGUUGGGGGUAUUCGUAUUCAAUUGUCAGAGGUGAAAUUCUUGGAUUUCUGGAAGACGAACUACUGCGAAAGCAUUUACCAAGGAUGUUUUCAUUAAUCAAGAACGAAAG
rnacentral:rRNA from 1 species